AUGGCCGCCUCCUCCAGCGCCGCACCAACCAACCUCUCUGGUCAGGUCACCGAGAAGCUGACACGCACCAACUACAUCCUCUGGCGGACUCAAGUCACGCCGCAGCUUCGUGGUGCUGGCUUCUACGGGUAUGUCGACGGCUCCAUGCCGGAGCCGGCCCGACUCGUCGUCACCAAGGACAAAGAAGGGAAGGAGGAGAGUUCCAUGAACCCCCUUCAUCCGAUCUGGAUGCGCGAAGAGCAGCAGGUACUUGGCUACCUUCUGAAUAAUCUCUCCACGGAGGUACUUGUGCAGGUCACCACGAUCGAUCAUGUGCAAGAUCUCUGGACAGCACUGGCGAACAUGUUCUCGUCCCAGUCCCUGUCACGCGUCAACAACAUCCGUGUCGCCCUCGCCAAUGCGCAGAAGGGGACGCAGCCCGUCGCCAGCUUCUUCGGGCACAUGCGCUCACUCUCAGAUGAGCUCGCGGCGGCUGGCAAGCCGCUCGGGGACGGUGAACUCGUCUCCUACAUCAUCGCCGCCCUCGACAUGGAGUACCAGCCACUCGUCUCCGCGCUUGAUGCCCGCACCACGCCCGUCUCGCUUGACGAUCUGUUUGCUAUGAUCAGCAACUUUGAUCAGCGGGUUGCCCUCUAUCAAGAGGGCCACUCCGGCGGCGGCUUCAAGUCCUCCGCUAACGCGGCCAUGCGCGGCCGUGGUGGCGGCUCCCGUCCUCGAGGGCGCGGCAGGGGCAGGCACAACAGCGGCCCCAACAACAGCAGCAGCAACUCCCGUGGCCACAACGGCGACGAUGGCCGGCCCUCCUCCAACAACAACCAGGGCCGCCGCAACAACUCCAACAACAGAUUGCGCCCCGAUGCCGUCCGGUGUCAAAUCUGUGGUAAACCUGGCCACUCGGCCAAGGAUUUCUGGUACAGGUUUAAUGAUGAUGAUGACUCCUCUCAGGACGAGAAGGUAGUUGCUGCGGCCGAUGGAUCGUAUGGCGUGGACACCAACUGGUACAUGGACAGUGGUGCCACGAACCACAUCACCGGCGAACUCGAGAAGGUGACCAUGCGGGAGAAGUACCGCGGCCAAGAUCACAUCCACACCGCGAGUGGAGAAGGUAACGAGGAAGGUACUGUAUCGAGGUAG
rnacentral:rRNA from 1 species